UCAAAACGAAGGCCAUAUGCCAAACUAUUUAGUGACCUUGAUGUAUAGACCCUUGUAAAAUGCCAUGUCAGGAGGGUUAGCAACCCAAUUAAAAUUGCCAGCAUGACCUGAAAGAAGCCAUUGAUAACAGAAGAAAAAAGAGAGAAUUGUCCUCAAGUUUUUGGCAGAAAUGGGAAGGCUGACUGCAAGCAUAAUAAAUUGGGGGUGUUUGCAGCGAGGGUGGCCAAUGUUGCGGAUAGCAUUUGAUAGAAUCUCAGGUGUGAUGAGGCACUUUUAGCAGAGUUGGGGACUAUCUCAUGUUUUGGGGCUUCAUUGCACAUAAUUCUAUGAUAAAGUUACCAUGAUGGCGAGGCGAGCUACAAAGACGCUGUAGUAUGAUGAGAGACAACGGGUACUUGGAUACGGAAAUUCUUCUUGUUCAACAUCCCUAUGGAGAGUUCCUCGGCCGCGGUGACAGUGAG